UGUGACCUGGAGAGAGAUGGUCACGG
rnacentral:piRNA from 1 species